rnacentral:rRNA from 1 species
UCUGGUUGAUCCUGCCAGAAGUUAUAUGCUUGUUUCAAGGAUUAAGCCAUGCAUGUCUAAGAAUAAAGUAAUCUAAGCUGAAUCUGCGUACGGCUCAUUAAACCAGCAAUGAUCUACCCUGGAAAGUGAGGCUUCGGCCUUGCCAUUCGGAUAUCCACUCGAAACGGGUGGUUAAUACGUGGAAGAAAAGAGCCGCCUCCAUUCAACCAGUGCUAGGGGAAACCCGAGCUGGGGAGGCGGUUUGGUGUGGACCGAAACAAAAACCGACGCCCGCAAGGGCAGUUUCAUGACAUCGGUGAAUCAGGUCCACUUAUUACCUAAAGCGCAGUUCACUGCGCGUUCCAGGACGAACUUCUGCCCUAUCAGCUAUGAUGGUUGUGUAGUGGACAACCAUGGCGGUCACGGGUAACGGAGAAUCAGGGUUCGAUUCCGGAGAGUGAGCCUGAGAGACGGCUAACACAACUAAGGUUGGCAGCAGGCGCGCAAAUUACCCAAUGUCAACACUGACGAGGUAGCGACGAAAAAUAGGAUUUCCGCUGGUCUUCGACCAGUGGAGAUUCUCUGGUGCCAGCAGCCGCGGUAAUUCCAGCUCCAAGAGCGUAUGCUAAUGCUGUUGCUGUUAAAAAGCUCGUAGUUGGAUUCUGAGUUGAAGGUUGCACCCGGCCUUUCUACCGGGCGUCCUCUGGGCGCUCCGGUCAGAUUGGGUACAACCGAGUGCUUUCGACCUUCACUCUACACACGCGGAAACGAUUCCUCUGCGGAAGCCUCCUUCACUGGUGGUGGAAGCAACAUUACGGGACCACAAGUUCCCAUAAAGAGGCGUCCGCGAUUGUUACUGUGAACAAAACAGCGUGUUCAAAGCAUCCGUUUGGCUGAAUGAUCUAGCAUGGAAUAACAAGGGAUCGACCCUUUUGGUCUUCUUUUUGUCGGUUUUGAUUUGUUCCGUCGGUAUUAAUAGGAGCAAGCGGGGUGGUACGUAUUGCUGCGUUAGUGGUGAAAUACUUAGACCGCAGCAGGACGAACAACAGCGAAGGCAUUCUGCAAGUUUGCUUUCAUUAAUCAAGAACGAGAGUGUGGGGUUCGAAGAUGAUCAGAUACCGUCGUAGUCCAUACCCGUAAACGAUGCCGAUUUGAAAUCAGCGGGG